AAAAAAAAAAUUAAGGCUCAAGAGUAAGUGCCCUUUUUAAAUGGCUGCUCCCGCCGCUUCAUGUUGCUUCCGGCGCCCCUGCUUCAUAUAUUAAACAAGUGGAGCUCGUCGAUUGUCAGUUUGUAAAAAAUCUGAUUGAGCUUGAUCAUAGGCUUGACCGUCUUGAUAGAACAUCGUACUUCAAGGUAUAAAUAAUCACAGUGUCUAGUGAUAGUUUAUUAUUAAUAUUGUUAUUAUGAGAAUAUCAAUUGAGCAGUAUCGUGCCCGCAUUGAAACACACAAAUUAUAUACGGAUGAAAACUUA